rnacentral:rRNA from 1 species
ACGAACGCUGGCGGCAUGCCUAACACAUGCAAGUCGAACGAGGGCUUCGGCCCUAGUGGCGCACGGGUGAGUAACGCGUGGGAACCUGCCCUGUGGUACGGAAUAACUCCGGGAAACUGGAGCUAAUACCGUAUGUGUCCUGCGGGACAAAGAUUUAUCGCCAUGGGAUGGGCCCGCGUAGGAUUAGCUUGUUGGUGGGGUAACGGCCUACCAAGGCAACGAUCCUUAGCUGGUCUGAGAGGAUGAUCAGCCACACUGGGACUGAGACACGGCCCAGACUCCUACGGGAGGCAGCAGUGGGGAAUAUUGGACAAUGGGCGCAAGCCUGAUCCAGCAAUGCCGCGUGAGUGAUGAAGGCCUUCGGGUUGUAAAGCUCUUUCGCACGCGACGAUGAUGACGGUAGCGUGAGAAGAAGCCCCGGCUAACUUCGU